UACGAAGGGGGCGAGCGUUGUUCGGAAUUACUGGGCGUAAAGGGCGCGUAGGCGGCCGAUUAAGUCAGAUGUGAAAGUCCUGGGCUUAACCUGGGGACUGCAUUUGAUACUGAUUGGCUUGAAUGCAGGAGAGGAUAGCGGAAUUCCCAGUGUAGAGGUGAAAUUCGUAGAUAUUGGGAAGAACACCGGUGGCGAAGGCGGCUAUCUGGACUGUGAUUGACGCUGAGGCGCGAAAGCGUGGGGAGCAAACAGG
rnacentral:rRNA from 1 species